rnacentral:rRNA from 1 species
ACCCUAACCGGACGGAAGGGGACGGUCGUCCCAACGGGUGAGAUUCAUGACUGGGGGUG